AUUGAACGCUGGCGGCAGGCCUAACACAUGCAAGUCGAACGGUAACAGAAAGCAGCUUGCUGCUUUGCUGGCGAGUGGCGGACGGGUGAGUAAUGUCUGGGAAACUGCCUGAUGGAGGGGGAUAACUACUGGAAACGGUAGCUAAUACCGCAUAACGUCGCAAGACCAAAGAGGGGGACCUUCGGGCCUCUUGCCAUCGGAUGUGCCCAGAUGGGAUUAGCUAGUAGGUGGGGUAACGGCUCACCUAGGCGACGAUCCCUAGCUGGUCUGAGAGGAUGACCAGCCACACUGGAACUGAGACACGGUCCAGACUCCUACGGGAGGCAGCAGUGGGGAAUAUUGCACAAUGGGCGCAAGCCUGAUGCAGCCAUGCCGCGUGUAUGAAGAAGGCCUUCGGGUUGUAAAGUACUUUCAGCAGGGAGGAAGGGAGUAAAGUUAAUACCUUUGCUCAUUGACGUUACCCGCAGAAGAAGCACCGGCUAACUCCGUG
rnacentral:rRNA from 1 species